UACGUAGGCAGCGAGCGUUGUUCGGAGUUACUGGGCGUAAAGGGUGUGUAGGCGGUUGUUUAAGUUUGGUGUGAAAUCUCCCGGCUCAACUGGGAGGGUGCGCCGAAUACUGAAUGACUAGAGUGCGGGAGAGGAAAGUGGAAUUCCUGGUGUAGCGGUGAAAUGCGCAGAUAUCAGGAGGAACACCGAUGGCGAAGGCGGCAUCCUGGACCGGCAUUGACGCUGAGGAGCGAAAGCCAGGGGAGCAAACGGG
rnacentral:rRNA from 1 species